GCCAUGCCGCGUGUAUGAAGAAGGCCUUCGGGUUGUAAAGUACUUUCAGUAGGGAGGAAGAUGGUUAAGUUAAUACCUUAAUCAUUUGACGUUACCUACAGAAGAAGCACCGGCUAACUCCGUGCCAGCAGCCGCGGUAAUACGGAGGGUGCAAGCGUUAAUCGGAAUUACUGGGCGUAAAGCGCAUGCAGGUGGUUUGUUAAGUCAGAUGUGAAAGCCCUGGGCUCAACCUAGGAAUCGCAUUUGAAACUGACAAGCUAGAGUACUGUAGAGGGGGGUAGAAUUUCAGGUGUAGCGGUGAAAUGCGUAGAGAUCUGAAGGAAUACCGGUGGCGAAGGCGGCCCCCUGGACAGAUACUGACACUCAGAUGCGAAAGCGUGGGGAGCAAACAGGAUUAGAUACACC
rnacentral:rRNA from 1 species